AGAAUCCCGGCCAUUUUCGAGCAAAGAUCCAACUGUAAAUCCGCCAUGGCCUCCAAUUAACUGCCCAAAGUAAAGCAAAAGAGGCAGAACCUACCACAGAGAAAAGGGUCCCCGAAAUCACACAUGCCAACAUUAAUUCAUGCUCAUUUCCUUCCAUUUUCCUCCUUUAUCCCCCCUUUCUCUGUCAACUAGCUCAACAAAAACCUCCCAGACUAAAACUGAGACAUUCCCAAACAGAAUAGGGUUUUUGCCAGACCAUAGUCAAGAGUAAAGCUUGGAUUUAGAGAGAGAGAGAGAGAAAAGCAUAUCGUGUGGCGCGGGUCAAUAGAAAAUUGUUGAAGAA
rnacentral:misc_RNA from 1 species